rnacentral:lncRNA from 1 species
UUUUUUAAUUAACUUCAAAUAGAUUAUCAUUAGAUUUUGUUUAAAAAAUUGGCAUUCAGGGCUGCUCAUAUGAAGACUAUGCUUACUUUCCUAAGGAUAAUUCAGAACCUAAAUUAAUAAUAAUAAACUCUGCUUAUAGAGCAUAUUUCAAUUCACAGAACACUUUCACAAAUUUUUAAGAUAUUAUGGAAGUAAGGAUUCUGAAGCUCAAAGAGGUCAAUGGACUUAUUCAAGGGCGACUAGGUAGGAAGCCUUAUACCCAGACUUGAACUAAAAGUUCAAUUGCUCCCCUUAUCAUAGACUUUGUGAAUUCUGUAAUCCUGCCAUAUUUAAUAUCUUACCCCUCUAGUAUCUCCAAUGUAUCAUUUGAAACAAUUUUUAAAAUUAUGCCACUAAUAUGAUUGUCUUUUAAAAUUCACCAUUACAUCAUAUACUUUAGAUCAUCUCUAUGUUAAUGGUUCUUAAUGGUUCAGAAUUGUUUCUCCAAGAUUGCCUUCAAUUUUUCAUUGCCAUUUUUAAAGAUAUUUCACAACAUUGGUGGUAUGGGCUCUAAAAAAUAUUAUGGCACAUUAGAGAUUUUAAGUGAGCUUGGUAUAUUUUCACCUGGAGGCAAUUAUGUAGACUGUAUUGAGUUCCUUUAUAUCAUAAAGUUUUGCAUAUAUAAAUUAACAGGAUUAUCAAUCGGCUUCUUAGAAACGAUUAUGUAAGUUCUAGUAAUAUUAAAAAGAUAUUUAAACAUUACAUCCAUACAUAUGGGUUAAAAUACACAUACAAAAACAGGAGAGCCUAAUAAUUUCAGAAGCCAGUAUCAUAAAACAAAGGGGAAGGAGAAGUUAAGUAACAGCAG